rnacentral:misc_RNA from 1 species
GCAGAGAGAAAAGAAGCUACCAAAAAAUUGUUUCAUCCUAGACUAAUACCACAUAAUACCUAUACUGAGAUACCUCUCUCCACUCUAUCCAACAAGGCUAAGAUACAUGAAAAAAUCACUUGGUGUUUUUUGUUUCAUUCAGUUUAUGUUCUAUUAACUUUAAAAAUAACUAACAAAGUUUAGGAUUACACCCAAAAAGAAGUUAAGGGAGAAACCCCCAAUUUUUCUCAACAA